GACGAACGCUGGCGGCGUGCCUAAUACAUGCAAGUAGAACGCUGAAGGAGGAGCUUGCUCUUCUGGAUGAGUUGCGAACGGGUGAGUAACGCGUAGGUAACCUGCCUGGUAGCGUGGGAUAACUAUUGGAAACGAUAGCUAAUACCGCAUAACAGUAGAUGUUGCAUGACAUUUACUUAAAAGUUGCAAUUGCAUCACUACCAGAUGGACCUGCGUUGUAUUAGCUAGUUGGUGGGGUAACGGCUCACCAAGGCGACGAUACAUAGCCGACCUGAGAGGGUGAUCGGCCACACUGAGACUGAGACACGGCACAGACUCCUACGGGAGGCAGCAGUAGGGAAUCUUCGGCAAUGGACGGAAGUCUGACCGAGCAACGCCGCGUGAGUGAAGAAGGUUUUCGGAUCGUAAAGCUCUGUUGUAAGAGAAGAACGAGUGUGGGAGUGGAAAGUUCACACUGUGACGGUAUCUUACCAGAAAGGGACGGCUAACUACGUG
rnacentral:rRNA from 1 species